UGAAAUCGUAUUAGUUUCAUCCAAACAAAACAGAGAAAAAAGAAUCUGCACAAGCCAUAUCCAAAGAAGCAAACACGUAUAUGAUUGGAAGUAAAAAGAUGAAUGCGCACACCUUCAUGGGGAGGUGGGCGUUUGGUCGGCGACAUUGUCAGUGUUUUGGGCAUCGGGGUUCUUAAGACAAAUUAGCUAUGAGGGGUGAUGUGGUUGGAGAUGCAGAAGAAAUUCAAAAUGGAUAUGAAUAUGAAGAUAGAGUUGGAAGAGAAGAAGUAUGAGAAAAUGGUGAUGCAGAUUCAGAGGCAUACGAUGAGGAUGAUGCAUAAGACUAUGGAUUCUAUAAUGAAGACGCUGAAGGAGAAGAAAAAGAAGAAGUUGAAGAUGCAGAUGAUAUUCAAAUUGACGUUGAAGAUGGAGAUGUUAGAGGUUCUACAGAAAAUGCUGGGGAUGAUGGCAUAGUUAUUGAUGAUGUUACAGACAUCUUGAAGUUUGACAUGGAAAAUUUGAGCAUGGACGAUCUUAGGAGGUUAGAUUUGUCUUGAUUUGGAAGUUGGCUAUUUAUUUUAUUACUAGUAUGCUAGAAUUAGUGGUUUUUCUGUUUGCAAAAGUCAUGUAGUUAGAGACAAGAAAGGUGAACUUUUGCAAUAGACUUUUGUGUGCUCCAGAGUUGGUUUUAAGCAAAAGAACGGUUUGAAUCCAAACUGUAGAAAGCACAGAUCGAAGAACGGAACAAGGUGUGGUUGUGAUGCAAUGUGUCGUGUUUAUGUGAAUAUACACAAUGGGCGGUGGUAUGUGUCGAAGUUGAAUUUUGAUCACAAUCGUGGAGCGUUGGGUGUUAAUUUUUCAGCGUUGCUAGCUGCUCAUGGAAAAAUGAGUGCAACUGAUAUAUUGCAAAUUGAUAAUUUUUGAAAUGUUGACAUUAGACCUCCACUCAUUUAUGUAGCAUUUGUGAACUCGGCUGGAGGAUUUGAGAAGGAGGAUUUGUAAUAAAAGAUAUUUACAAUCAAUCAAGCGGGCAGAGGUGGGAGCAAUCAACUGAUGUGAGUGGAGCUUUCAGUUUCUUUCGGGAGUUGGGUUCGAAAGGCCCAUUACUUUAUGUAUCUCACACAGUUGAUGACGAAGUGAGGCUGCAACAUUAAUUUUGGGCGGACAGGGAGAGUAUUAUGAGCUAUCAAGUGUUUGGGGAUGUUUUGGCAUUUGAUGCAACUUGUAAGAAAAAUAAGGACCUAUGUCUCGUUGUUGUUUUUUUGAGUGUCAACCAUCAUAAUCAAACUGCCAUUUUUGUUGCCCAAAUUGUAAUGAAUGAGACCAAACAAACAUAUGUGUGGUUGUUGGAACAGUUUUGGACUCAAUGAAUGGAAAGACCCCUUGUUCGGUGAUAACUGACGUUGAUCUUACAAUGAGAAAUGUAAUUAGAAGAGUGUUUCCCAACGUGCAUCGUAGGCUGUGUGCAUGGCAUUUGCUUCGUAAUGCACAAAGUAAUGUCAAAAAAUGUGAAAUGAUGCUAUAUUUGAAAAGAUGUAUGUUGGGAGAAAUUGAGGAUGAUGAAUUUGAUAGAGUUUGGAGUGAAAUGGUGGAGAAAUUUGGUUUGGAGAACAACAAUUGGCUGAAGGAGUUUUAAGACAAAAGAAGCAUGUAGUCUCCCCCUCAUAUCCGGGGAAAUUUCUUUGCAGGUAUACACACUACUUCUUGCUGUGAAGCAUUUCAUAGCCAUCUUGUAAAGUAUUGUCAUUCACAGGUUAAUCUGACAGACUUUGUCCAACAAUUUCACAUGUGCCUCACAUAUUUGCGUUUUAGAGAAUUUGAGGCUAAUUUCUAUUCUAAUAAUGGUGAGCCUGAGUUUGAAACCAAUUAUCAUUCUUUGGAGACAUUUGCAGUAAAGCACAUGACUAAGGAAAUGUUUUUGCUAUUUGCACCUUAUCUGAAUAGAGCAUCAUUCAUAAGGGUUGUUGAUUGCCAUGAAACCUCAAUGCUAUCUAUUUUUACUGUUCUCAAAUAUUCUACAAGUAUAAUGUGGCAGGUUUCCUAUUGUGCAUCAAAAACUCAAUUCAAAUGUUCUUGUACGAGGAUGGAGUCAAUUGGAUUGCCAUAUGAGCAUAUAUUGGCUGCAAUACUUCAUUUACACUUUUCUGAAGUACCAAAGUCUUUGAUGCUGGAUAGGUGGUCAAAACAUGCAAAAGAAGGAAUUGUUAGAUGUUAUGCUCAUGGCUCAAACUAUUGGAAUUUGGAUUCGAUGGCUAAAUACGUGACUUUAGUGCAAAUAUCUAGACAGGUGUGUGAUUUUGCGCAUCGUGACCAAGAAGACUAUGAUCAUUUCAUGAAUUUACUUGGCUGUCAACUAAAUAGGAUGAAGGUUAAGUAUAGUGCAGUACUAGCGGUAGAAACAGAUGUCAACCCAUAACCUAAAAAUGAUAUCGAAGAAGUACUUGACCUACCUGUUGUUAGACCGAAAGGAUCGAUGUGGGUCAAGCAAGAAGACUCGAUCUGGAAGAUCUCGUAAGGUGUAGACAUGUAGCAGGUGUGGUGGAAAUGGACAUAACAAGAGAUCAUGCGGUAGCAGUAAUCAACAUUAUACUGGUGAUGGCAAUCCGGAUGGGGUUAUUCCCCUAGUCAGGAGAGCAAUGUUGUUCAUGAAUUUGACCUGAACCCCAACAAUGGUGAACAUGGAGGGCAUAAUGCCAUUGUCAGGAGGAGGCAUGGAGACAUUUAGUGAAGGAUUUUGCAUAAUUUGUUGACAAUGAAGUUUAUGGGUUCAUUUGUUGUUUCAGUGUUGUCAUUUGCUUUAAGUGACACUUUGUUUUGUGAUAAUUGUAGAAUAUUUGACCUUGUGGUGGUGAACCUUGGCUGACUUGUUUUAGUUUAAUUAUGUGUCUUGAUUACUCUAGAGCAAUUGACUUUGUCAUAUGGUAAC